GAUGAAGAACGUAGCGAAAUUCGAUAAGUAAUGUGAAUUGCAGAAUUCCGUGAAUCAUCGAAUCUUUGAACGCACAUUGCGCCCCCUGGCAUUCCGGGGGGCAUGCCUGUCCGAGCGUCAUUUCUGCCCUCCAGCCCGGCUGGGUGUUGGGCGCUGUCCCCCCGGGGACACGCCCCAAAGGCAGUGGCGGCGCCGCGUCGGGUCCUCGAGCGUAUGGGGCUUUGUCACCCGCUCGGGACGGACUCGUCGGCGCUGGUCUUCCUCCAGGCGACCCUUCGGGGCUCGUCUUCCUUCGGUUGACCUCGGAUCAGGUAGGGUUACCCGCUGAACUUAAGCAUAUCAAAAGCGGAGGA
rnacentral:misc_RNA from 1 species